UACGGAGGGUGCAAGCGUUAUCCGGAUUUACUGGGUUUAAAGGGUGCGCAGGCGGAUAUGUAAGUCAGUGGUGAAAUCUCUAGGCUUAACCUGGAAAUUGCCGUUGAUACUAUAUAUCCUGAAUGCUGUGGAGGUAAGCGGAAUAUGUCAUGUAGCGGUGAAAUGCUUAGAUAUGACAUAGAACACCUAUUGCGAAGGCAGCUUACUACGCAGAUAUUGACGCUCAUGCACGAAAGCGUGGGGAUCAAACAGG
rnacentral:rRNA from 1 species